rnacentral:rRNA from 1 species
UACGUAGGUGGCAAGCGUUAUCCGGAAUUACUGGGCGUAAAGCGCACGCAGGCGGCCAUUUAAGUCUGACGUGAAAGCUCCCGGCUUAACUGGGAGAGGUCGUUGGAAACUGGGUGGCUUGAGGCAAUGAGAGGGGUGUAGAAUUCCUGGUGUAGUGGUGGAAUGCGUAGAUAUCAGGAGGAAUACCAGUGGCGAAAGCGGCACCCUGGCAUUGGCCUGACGCUCAUGUGCGAAAGCGUGGGGAGCGAACGGG